ACUUGGUCCCCUUGCGGCGAUAUGCUGCGAACUCCGCCAGGCCCGGAAGGGAGCAACGGUAACAGCGGAUUCGGGCGCUAAGGUGUGGCUGAGUGGG
rnacentral:SRP_RNA from 1 species